CCUGCUUGUAAAGAAUUUGCUGUUUGGUUCCUUUCAGGCCUGUUUGCGUGUUCCCAACUGCUAUGUGGCCAAGAAUAACAAUCUUUAAUAUUGGUAUCCUUAUUUACAAAGAAAAUGAGUGCAGAAAGGACAAGUAGUUUUCGUGAAACCACUUGGAAGUGGAGGAGAAGGGUUUUGAACUCCCAUCAUCUCAAGCUCAUGCUUUGCCAUCUCACCACAGUGAAAUGAUGGAAAACUCAAGUCUGCAAACCUUAAAUUUUCAAUCAAAGGGAGGAAACCUUGGGCAAAUGAAGAGGUCAUGGAUAUGAUAUGAAAAUAUUUUAUGAUUUUGCAUGUGAGAAGCUACUGCAUAGAUGAAUUCAACUGCAGGAUCCCUUUUAAAAAAUAUGUAUCUUCAAGAUUGAGUGUGAGCCUUCACAAACUCCUCCUUGUAUCUUAAGUCUGCUGGAGUACUGGCCUGACUCCACUCACUCACUGUGUACUUCGUUUGAAACUAACAAACAAUACAGUGACUGUCAGUAGAUGUUGCCUCCUCAGUCUACAGAGCCAACAAAAAUUAUGGAAAAGUACUGAAGAACUAAUACAGUUUAGACACCAGAGGUCUCACAAGUUAAACCCUCUAUAUAAUACAGAGCCCUCCUGAGAAUCAACUUAAGGUGAAAUGUUUUAAAGAAGAGAUAAUGGUGGUGGUGUGGUGGUACAUGUUGAGCAACCAGCUCUCUGGAGCAACUGAAAAAUACUUCUAAUCUGGCAAAUUCAGCGAGAAGACUGAGUUCCUUAAUUUCUGUCAGCACCAGUGAAAAACUGUCCUAAACUGACCCUGGCUUACAGAUGUACCACUGGAUCUUGGACUAAAUGGUAAUGGUAAUCAUUCUG
rnacentral:lncRNA from 1 species